AUUGAACGCUGGCGGCAGGCCUAACACAUGCAAGUCGAGCGAGCGGCGGACGGGUGAGUAAUGUAUGGGGACUGCCCGAUAGAGGGGGAUAACUACUGGUAACGGUAGCUAAUACCGCAUACUAUCGGAUAACCCAUAUGGGAUUAGCUAGUAGGUGAGGUAAUGGCUCACCUAGGCGACGAUCCCUAGCUGGUCUGAGAGGAUGAUCAGCAACACGGGGAGUGAGACACGGCCCACAGUCCUACGGAGGGAGCAGGGGGGAAUAGUGCACAAUGGGCGCAAGCCUGAUGCAGCCAUGCCGCAUGUAUGAAGAAGGCCCUAGGGUUGUAAAGUACUUGCAGUCGGGAGGCGUUACCGACAGAAGAAGCACCGGCUAACUCCGUGCCAGCAGCCGCGGUAAUUC
rnacentral:rRNA from 1 species